rnacentral:rRNA from 1 species
AAAGAUUAAGCCAUGCAUGUCUCAGUACUUGCUUUUACAAGGCGAAACCGCGAAUGGCUCAUUAAAUCAGUUAUGGUUCAAUUGAUCGUAAAUUAUACACGGAUAACUGUGGUAAUUCUAGAGCUAAUACGUGCAAAUAGCUCGGUCCCUUGUGGAACGGGCGCAGUUAUUAGAUCAAAACUAAUCCGGCCUUCGGGUCGGUAAAAUUGGUGACUCUGAAUAACCGAAGCGGAGCGCGUGGUCUCGUACCGGCGCCAGAUCUUUCAAGUGUCUGACUUAUCAGCUUGUUGUUAGGUUACGUUCCUAACAAGGCUUCAACGGGUAACGGGGUAUCAGGGUCCGAUACCGGAGAGGGAGCCUGAGAAACGGCUACCACAUCCAAGA